CACGUCAGACACUAAUGCUGUGUAUUUAUUUGCCACUUCCACGCUGUAACUUGAACUUCUGCACCUGUCAAAGCAUUCCAGGGAAGAGAGGGGCAUUACUGGAGAGCAAAAGUUUUAUACCUGUUACACCUGUUUUGUUUUGUCACCGCCUGAGAUUUUCUUUUUUUCUUGCCAAGAUUGCCAGGUGGUUUAAUCCGCUCCUCCGCCGGUCUUAUGAAGAAAGACUUUGUGUGCUGAAUUGCAUUUGUUGCUCUCAUCUGCUUUCCCUUAUCGAAUACGAGCUACUCACCUAAACCUCUGCUUUAUUUAUUUAUUUAUUUGUUUGUUUGUUUUUUAGCGUGUAUUCCCCUUUCUUUUCACCUCCCCCUGCUCUUGCCGGGGCGGGGGCUGCUCUUUGUGCGUGCCGGGGCUGCGGGGAGCGGCAGCGCCCGCUCCCGCUGUGCUCGAAUCAGAGCGCGGUGCCUCUCGCCCAAGGAUCCUGACACGUGGAGCAUUGAUGAACUCAGCAUAACGUUGAAUGGGAGCUUUUUGGCAGCUGAGACACAAGGGCUAAGCUGCAGGGUGAAGUGCAAAGGAUCAGGUUUUUUCCUAGAAGAGAGUGGGAAAACUGUCUCAGUUGGCUCUAAAUGCUCUGAACAGGAGGAUCUCCUACUGCAUUUGUAAUGCCGAUGGGCAGCGGUCCUGGCUGAAGAUUUCUGAGAACUUUAAGAAGUUUCUCAGACCUUGCAACACGCCCUGCUGCACGGGACAGCAUGUUAUACCAACAGCCAUUAUAAACCUGGAAUAGUCUUUGUCCUUUUCAUCGUGAUUGUUGUUGGUAAACUCGUAUAAAUGGGAAGUGCCGUUUCCUUCGCAUUGUUUGAAGUGUAUUUGUUCAAGAAAUAACUAAAUGACAGCUUUCCGUGUUUAAAACAGGAGAGUUUUCCCUAAUGCCCUAAGUCUAAAUUAGUAUUCUUGAUGUGCCGAUGAGCCUGGAAUAGUAGUGCAGCCAGGCUGGGUCUAGGCACUAACAUGUCCUGGGAGUUCAUCUCUUACCUAAUAAAUAAAUCAUAAAUAAAUCCUUUUUAUUUUUUAUUUUUGGUAUAUAUUUUUUUAAUUUUCAUUUUAUUUCUUACUGCCAGCUGAAAAGUUGAAUUAGAAAGGGGGUGCCAAGUGCUUCUUUUGGAAAUAUUUUGUUUGGAUGACUCCUAGGUAACAUCAGAGACACCUUUCCUGGGUGGAAGCUCUGAGACAGAUCAGAAUUACUGUGGCAACGUGGAUUUCCUGAGUAGCGUUUUUGCAUGUGCUAUUGAAUUAGUGACUUUAAAAGAAAAGAGUUUUCACAGUUCUUCUGUGUGUGCAGUAUACCUUCAUGAUUUUCCCCUUCAUUCCUCAUUUUUUCAUAUGUCUGAAACAACAGCAGGGGAAAAAGAAAUAUACCUUGACUGAUGGGAAGGAAAUAGGUGAGAAUGUGGAAGACCCUUAUAAUUAAAUCAAUUGAUACAAAGAAAAAA